CAUGCACUGGUGGGGUCCCUCAGCCUGGCCUGCACCCUCUCACAAUUUAGGACCCCUUGGGGGAGGUUGGAGAGCCAGUUUUGUCCUGAUCUCCACAGGCCAGGCUGAGGGACUCCACUGGUGCAUG
rnacentral:pre_miRNA from 1 species